rnacentral:rRNA from 1 species
UACGUAGGGGGCGAGCGUUGUCCGGAUUUAUUGGGCGUAAAGAGCUCGUAGGCGGUUUGGCAAGUCGGGUGUGAAAACUCCGGGCUCAACUCGGAGACGCCACUCGAUACUGCCAUGACUCGAGUCCGGUAGGGAGUGCGGAAUUCCUGGUGUAGCGGUGAAAUGCGCAGAUAUCAGGAGGAACACCGGUGGCGAAGGCGGCACUCUGGGCCGGUACUGACGCUGAGGAGCGAAAGCAUGGGGAGCGAACAGG